GUACUCCAUUUUUUUUUUCAAGAGACCCUUUAUAUGAUUUGAAUUUGUCAGUUCAUGAAACUUAUUUAUCCCAAAUAAACACUAGCAUGAUAUUGUUUAUGUUUCAUUGUUUGAUUUUCUCAAUUUUUUAUAUAAAUUGGUGAAGAAAUGACAAUGGUGUAUUUUCUGCAAGAAUUGGUGACUUUUUAUGGUAAUAUGAUCAUUUGGUGAUGAAACUAAAAAAAUUACCCAUGCCAAUGAGUAGAACAUUUUAUGAGGAACAUUUUGGUGUAUCAUAUGUAUAUAUUUGAAUUGAAAUAUUGAAAUAACAAUGAUUUGUAUUUUGCUUGUUAAGAAGGGUACAUAAUCCUUAAAUAACAAGAGGCGAUAU
rnacentral:lncRNA from 1 species